rnacentral:rRNA from 1 species
UGGGGAAUAUUGCACAAUGGAGGGAACUCUGAUGCAGCGACGCCGCGUGAACGAAGAAGGCUUUCGAGUCGUAAAGUUCUUUUAUAUGGGAAGAUAAUGACGGUACCAUAAGAAAAAGCCCCGGCUAACUACGUGCCAGCAGCCGCGGUAAUACGUAUGGACCGAGCGUUGUCCGGAAUCAUUGGGCGUAAAGGGUACGUAGGCGGCCUAGUAAGUUAGAAGUUAAAGAAUAUAGCUCAACUAUAUAAAGCUUUUAAAACUGCUAGGCUUGAGAGAUGGAAGGGAAAGUGGAAUUCCUAGUGUAGCGGUGAAAUGCGCAGAUAUUAGGAAGAAUACCGGUGGCGAAGGCGACUUUCUGGUCAUCAUCUGACGCUGAGGUACGAAAGCGUGGGUAGCAAACAGG